rnacentral:lncRNA from 10 species
CCAAAGAAACAAAAAAUAAGAUGAGAAGACUGGUACAUUUUGGAUCAAAGCAAGGUCCAGAAAUAUCUGUCAGUCUGUACGGAUGUGUUUCCUGGAGCCAAUGCUCCUCAGACAUCCUGAAGCUACUUGGGAGUGUGCCUUCCUCUAGUCUUCUUGGCAUACCAACACCAUUAAGUGCUAACAUUUGGAGGAAAACAUCAAGAAGGUCUAUGCUGAGUACCAGGGGAAUGCAGGACAAGGAGAAGGACAUACUUUCUUCCUUCAGAGAGCUACCAGAGGAGAAAUGACAGUGUCUAUUAGGAACUGGCCUUAGAAUCUCCCAGGUUGAUGAGUGAGUCAUCACGCAUAUACAUGCACAGAAAUUCACUCUGUGCUGUGACAUUAA